rnacentral:rRNA from 1 species
GCUUGUCUCAAAGAUUAAGCCAUGCAUGUCUCAGUAUAAGCUUUUACACGGCGAAACUGCGAAUGGCUCAUUAAAACAGUUAUCGUUUCUUUGGUGGUUAUUGAUUACAUGGAUAACCGUGGUAAUUCUAGAGCUAAUACAUGCGCCCAGACCCAACUUUUAGGAAGGGUUGUAUUUAUUAGGUACAGAACCAACCCAGGCUCCGCCUGGCCUUGAGGUGAUUCACAAUAACCGAACGAAUCGCAUAGCUGCCGCUGGCGAUAGACCAUUCAAGUUUCUGACCUAUCAGCUAUCGUCGGUAGGGUAUUGGCCUACCGUGGCAAUGACGGGUAACGGAGAAUUAGGGUUCGAUUCCGGAGAGGGAGCCUGAGAAACGGCUACCACAUCUAAGGAAGGCAGCAGG